UUUUCAGUUUUCAGUGCUUCUCUUCUUUGGCUCCUGCCUGCUCUAGGACCAACCAAACAAGCACAUUUAUCUUUGCCUCCUGGAACACUCGGGAUAUUUCCCUUCGUGCAUCCCAGGGCCCUACACGUGGUGGGAUGGGAGCUCUCCCCAGCACAUCUGGCUUCUGUUGUAGGUUGGUCUGGGAACCUGACACCAGCUGGAGCGACACAAAACGUACUGGGAGCCGUCCUUAAUGCAUCAACUCUGUGUGUCUCCAUUUCCUGCUUCAAGGCAUGGAUCUCCUGUUUGGUAUCUUUUCCAGCAGUUCCCACAGCGUGUUUGACACUGUAACCAACAGUGCUCACACCUCCAAGACCAGGGAAAGCACACAAGCAGCGUGUCAAAUUGCUUACCCGGAGCGCCCCUAAAGGAUCCCAUCAGAACGGAGUCAAUCUGCAAGGCGUGGAGCAAUCCCUCUCUGCCUGUAGGAGCACACACAAGCCACGUUUCACUGGGGACUCUCCAGUUCUGCAGUUCUUUGCUUCUUCCUAUUUUCCUGUCAUUUUGAAAACAUAGCAGCUGCCAAAAAAGAAUUAUUUUCUUUUUAAAGAAGGAAAAAAAGAGAAUGAAAGAAUGUGGCCCAUUGUUUCCUUUAUCUGUUCAGGGAACAAGCCUCAUUGAUUGGAUGCCAGGAAGGGGAUAAUGCAAUCUCCCAUUGGGCCUGUUUGCAUCUUCUGCCAGGCUGACAGUUAAAGGCUACAGAUGGCCUUUGACAACUGACAACACUCACUGUUAUGCCAGUGCAUGACUUCAUCUGUGUGACACUGCAUGUGACUGCAGCUUGCUUCCUCUUUGCUUGCAGGAACUAUUCUCCAUUUCAGGAGCACCAGAAGAGCAGAGGAAGUUCCCCUUGCCAGAACCAGAAGCCUAAAAAUGCCUUCCAGUAUUGUUGGAAUAUUGUUGUUUGCUUGGGGCUUUAACCACCAAGUCUGAAGUUCAGAGGCCAAAUUUGGUAAAGCUUCAAUCCUUUUUUGAAUGGACAAUUUUCAAUACUGGUAAGGCCCACGUGGACAUUUCAGAGUGUCCCACACUCCAGAGUGCUUCCCAAAGGGACACCAAGCCUGCAGCUUGUGCUGGAGGUGCAAAGGCUGCAGACCUGUGCUGGAAUUCAGAGGAGUUUUUGUUUUCUGUGAAUCUUGGCAAGCUCAGGGGAUGCUGCAAGUUGAAUGAAUGAAGUCAUCCAUCAUCUAGCAGUAACUGGAGUAGGUUGAACUCAUUCCCGUUCUGUUUUUUGCUUCAGAAGCAGGAAAAAAUGAAUGCUUAUAUUCUAGACUUUUCUUUUUGCCACUUUUAAACACAGGUCACAAUUUGAAUUAUGAAUAAGCUGUUAGAGGACAAGUGGAGCUCAGCAGUGAGGAGUUGUUGGUGUUGUUUUCCACUUGGUUUCAAGUUCUGCACACAAAGCUAGAGCAGGUUGCUGAGAAACCCUGUCAUCUGCAAACAAAGGCAGCUCCUGCAGGAUGGAGUGUGUGCAGAAUGUAAAGAGGGAGGUGUCUGUAGGCAGCCUACAGAAGAUUGCCACGUUGCUGCCAUGCACACAAAAAGUUCCUGACUUUUGGUACCAGGCUCACCACCCUGACAGGCAACCUGGUACACUGAAGGUCCAAUGGAACUGAUGGUCCUUAUGUUCCUCAAGAGUGAGAGGUAUUAUGGCCAAACUGACACGGGAAGGUUUUUGCAUCAUGUUUUGGUUAAAACUUCCAUUCCCAUCGGAGGAAGGCGCUGGCUGACUCCGCUUCCCGCCCCAGGGGAAUGGAUGUGCCUGCGGUGAUCGGCGCGGUGCCCAGGGAACGGGAUCGGGAUCGGGACGGCACCUCACGGUUCCCGGCCCCGCAGUGCGGCGGCGCCCGGGAUGGCCCGGGAUCCUUCGGUCACAUCCAGGGUGAGAGAGGCCGGGCUGGGGCGGAUCGGUGCCCUGCGCCAUCCGGGAGCCCAGCCAUCCCUUUCUCUUUCUGGAAAUCGCUGAGGGUUCCUGGCCGCUGUUUAAAAUAACAAAAAAAGAGAAUGACACUACUCCAGCAGAGGAGAGCGGUGAAUCACGCCGUGCGCUCCCGGGCUGUCUGUCACGGGGGGAUGGAGGGGCCCCGGGCCGU